GCACUGCUGAGGAAUCCCAUAAUAAGACGAAACGGCAGUCCAGUGC
rnacentral:hammerhead_ribozyme from 1 species